rnacentral:rRNA from 1 species
GACGAACGCUGGCGGCAUGCCUAAUACAUGCAAGUCGAACGAGCUUCCGUUGAAUGACGUGCUUGCACUGAUUUCAACAAUGAAGCGAGUGGCGAACUGGUGAGUAACACGUGGGAAAUCUGCCCAGAAGCAGGGAUAACACUUGGAACAGGUGCUAAUACCGUAUAACAACAAAAUACCGCAUGGAUUUUGUUUUGUAAAGGUGGCUUCGGCUAUCACUU